ACUGGUUGAUCCUGCCAGUAGUCAUAUGCUUGUCUCAGAGAUUAAGCCAUGCAUGUCUAAGUACAUACCUUAAAACGGUGAAACCGCGAAUGGCUCAUUAAAUCAGCUAUGGUUCCUUAGAUCGUAAACGCUACAUGGAUAACUGUAGUAAUUCUAGAGCUAAUACAUGCCUUGAAUCCCUGACCCGCAAGGGGACGGGUGCAUUUAUUAGAACAGAACCAACCGGGUGCGGCUUAUGCUGUGCCUGUUACAUUCUGUGAUGACUCUGGAUAACUUUACUGAUCGCAGUCGGCCUUGUGUGUCGGCGACGGAUCUUUCAAAUGUCUGCCCUAUCAAUUUGUUGGUAGGUGAUUUGCCUACCAUGAUGAUAACGGGUAACGGGGAAUCAGGGUUCGAUUCCGGAGAGGGAGCCUGAGAAAUGGCUACCACAUCCAAGGACGGCAGCAGGCGCGAAAAUUACCCACUCCCAGCACGGGGAGGUAGUGACGAAAAAUACGGAUACGGGACUCAAUUGAGGCUCCGUAAUUCGAAUGAGUACAAUUUAAAUCCUUUAACGAGGACCAAUUGGAGGGCAAGUCUGGUGCCAGCAGCCGCGGUAACUCCAGCUCCAAAAGCGUAUAUUAAAGUUGCUGCAGUUAAAAAGCUCGUAGUUGGAUCUGGGUAGUGCGAUCGCAUGCUGUUGCUUGUUCACGGUCUUGGUUACGAUCAGGGCAGUGGUCAGCUCGGCGUAGUGGUUGUGCAACCUUUCAGCCGUGUCUGUGUUUUAUUAAACAGGUGUCGAUGGGUUAAUGAGUAUUGUAUCUUAUUGACCUGUUGGCAUGCUUUCGGAUGCCUUUAAACGGGUGUCGGGGGCGGACGGCAUCUUUACUUUGAACAAAUUUGAGUGCUCAAAGCAGGCCUAUGCGCCUGAAAAUUCUUGCAUGGAAUAAUGAAAUAGGACUUCGGUUCUAUUUUGUUGGUUUUCGGAUCCGAAGUAAUGGUUAAGAGGGACAGACGGGGGCAUUUGUAUGGCGGUGUUAGAGGUGAAAUUCUGGGAUCGCCGCCAGACAAACUACAGCGAAAGCAUUUGCCAAGAAUGUUUUCAUUGAUCAGGAGCGAAAGUCAGAGUUUCGAAGACGAUCAGAUACCGUCGUAGUUCUGACCAUAAACGAUGCCAACUGACGAUCCGCGUUGGUUCUAUAAUUGACAUCGCGGGCAGUCCCCGGGAAACCUUUAAGUCUUUGGGCUCCGGGGGGAGUAUGGUUGCAAAGCUGAAACUUAAAGGAAUUGACGGAAGGGCACCACCAGGAGUGGAGCCUGCGGUUUAAUUCGACUCAACACGGGAAAACUCACCCGGCCCGGACACUGUGAGGAUUGACAGAUUGAAAGCUCUUUCUUGAUUCGGUGGUUGGUGGUGCAUGGCCGUUCUUAGUUGGUGGAGCGAUUUGUCUGGUUAAUUCCG
rnacentral:rRNA from 1 species